CACAUGUGCCUUUGUUGUGAUUUGUGUGUUUACCUGUUUCCCGCUAUGUUCCCUCACCUGUUUCCAGUUAUGUUCCCUCACCUGUUUCCCAUUGUGUGCCCUCACCUGUCUUGUAUUUUGUGAUUGUCACUUCUGUUAAUUAGCCAGGGUACAAAUACCUGGCUAAUCCCUCUGGACCUUAUCGGGUCGUUAGAUUGUUUUGUUGCUAGACUGUUUUUGUUCCUAGCUUGUUUUUGGUAGUACGCUCACGCACUUAGUCAGCAGUGCCCUCAAGCACUUAGUCACCAGUGCUCUCACGCACUUAGUCUUUGUGCAAAGACACGCAGCGCCUAACCACACAGCUAGUGCUCUCACGCACUUUUUGGGUUUUGGUCUUCUCCCAGGGAGACAAGUGUGUGGUUAAGACCAGGCCGAAGGGACUUCUGAAAAAUGGUACACUUUACAUUCACAGUUACAUUUCCCAGAUCUCCACUACAUAGAAGAAUGGACCAAUUAUGAAUCAAGUAUUUAUCAGCAAACCAACGGUCAGGUUUCGUCAGGAUGCCUGAAGGUGAGACAAUGUGACCUUGGACCAUCAACAAAAGCACGGAAAAUGCAUUUGGUAAAAUAACUAAUUAGACACCACUUUCUGGGUGGACGGUGAAGAGUCCAACCAUGUGUUAUCAUUUCAAAGACACUUUACAAAAUGUACAAGAAAGUUCUGCAAAGGCAUGCCAAACAACAAAUGACAAAAUCGACACCUCCCUUCUCUCUAUAUAAAUGAAAAACCCUUAGAAAAUGUUAAUAACUACAUUACCCAGAGUCCUCUGCCCAUUAGGAUCCACUGUUUUAGCCAUCUUCAGAGCCUCUGUGGUGGCUAUGUCAACAUUUGCAGGUACCACAACCAAAUUGAUGGUCUCUUGCUUUUUAAUGAAUGUCUCUAUUAGUUUCUUAAUCUGUAACACAAGGGUGUGUGCUGGAUGAGGGCUGUGUCAUGUUACAAACUAAGUACAACAAAACAUUUUGUUGUCAGAGUUAUUAUAUCUUGCAUAAAACUUUGUUAACUAUAUGUGUUUGUAUAAAUAUGUGUUUGUGCAGUGUAUAAAAGUUUUCAUCUUCAAAUGAUGGUAUUGUACUUUCAGACAUACUGUAUUUAUUUUCUCUCACCUGUUCUUCAAUAUCCUGGCA